AGUGCAUCGUGAGUGUUGCUGGUGGGGCCACUCGGGCUGCCCUGACCGUGCACCAGGCUCGCAGGAACAACAUGGCUGACGUGUCAGCCAAGGACAGCAGCCAGGAGACGCUGGUGAACCUGGCGGGGCUCUUGGUCAGCCUCCUGAUGCUCCCUCUGGUGUCAGGUUGCCCUGGGUAAGCCGGAAGCAGGGUGGGCAGGAGAACCCCAGCUGGGCCUCUGCCCACUUCAGCUACCUCACUCUCUCACCCCAGCUUCAGCCUUGGAUGUUUCUUCUUCCUCACUGCCCUCCACAUCUACGCCAACUACCGCGCGGUCCGAGCCCUGGUCAUGGAGACCUUGAAUGAAGGCCGGCUCCGGCUGGUCCUGAAGCACUACCUUCAGAGGGGAGAGGUACUCGACCCAACUGCAGCCAAUCGCAUGGAGCCGCUGUGGACAGGUGACCCUGCCCCUGGUCUCGGGUCCUGUGUCUCAGCCUCUCCCACUGCCUAGGCAUCCUGACCCCAGCUUCCCACAGGUUUCUGGCCAGCUCCGUCUCUAUCCCUAGGGGUCCCCUUACACCGCUUGGUCUCCAGGUGAGUGGCCUAGCGUCUCCCACUCGUCACCACCGCCACCCACACUCCCCGCACACACCCCUCACUCCGAUUACACACUGGCCUCCCUGGCAAGGCCCCACCUCUCUGUCCUGGGUUCUUCAUUGCUGCUGAACAGACAUGGGGUUGGUGUGGGUGUGUGAGGAAGGAAAGGGUGUAUAACAUGAAGCAGAUGUAAGAGAUGUGCUUGAUGGGUGAAGGAAGGAUGGGUAGAUGGGGAAGUUGGAUGACUGGAUACAGGAAGAAAGGAUGGAUUUGGUGUG
rnacentral:sRNA from 1 species